AGUUUUCAAGGUCAAAACAAUAAUUUUAUAUGACGGGCCACAAGCAACCGAUUCAAUCCGAAGAUAUAAAAUUUCGUUAAUACUACGUGAUAGAGAAGUGAAAAAUAAAUUCAAUGACAGAUAAUAUAAUAAAAAUAAAGCAGAGAAGAAAGAAUUCUUAUUGAAUGAUCCUUGAUAGGAUAAUGUGCCGAACAGAGCUUGAAGGGCCGAACUAUGGCUAACUUGAGAGCAAUAUGCUAUAAAUUACAAUGAAGAGAAUUGUAGAGAAGAAAAUUAGCCUCCCCUGAUGGUGGUAAAAGUAUGUCUAUUUAUAGCGCUAAAUCUAAGUAACUAGUCUCCUUGAAUUAUGGGUCCAUUAUGAGCAUUUACUCAAUCCAUCCAUUACUUUUGGAAGACUUGUAACAGCUGUGUAAAUGUUGGAAUUCCGUAACUGAUGAGUUAAUUUCAUAAUUGAUGAGUUAAUUCCGCAAUUAAUCAGUCAAUCUCGUGUCAGUUGAGUCAAUCUCGUGCCUGUUGAGUCAAUCUCGUGCCUGUUGAGUCAAUCUCGUAGUUGAUUGCCUUGUUCUGACCGUUACAAUAAUUUAUUGUAUUUAUUAAUAAUUGAUUUGUAACUGAUGGUGUAAUGAUGAUAAAUCUCAUAUAAUCCGGGAUUAAUUUAUUCCUUCCUCAUUUGUAAUUAUAAGAUAUUCUCUCGCACCUGAUCUGGGCUAUUUCAUGAUGAUCAAUUCCGAGGCUAACAGGCACGGUAUGAGUAUGUUCGAUCCUAGGGGUGUUUCACAUAUCAUCUUUACAUGUCAUUCUUCACUUUUCUUCAAACUUUACUGACACGUGUCGCCAUUAAAUAGACCCACAUGGCGAGUCUUACUUUUACUAAUACAGCGGUAUCAUCAACGUCGGCACCAAACAACUGAGAAAAUUUCUAGUGGGGUUGGCCGAAGGAACGAUUCCCAGAGAACAACUUUAUUUUUCUAUAAAUUUGAUUUCAGAUAUUUGAGAAAUGUUUGUAUUGUAUUUGGGUGUUAUCUAAGAGAUGUGGUCAAAGAUAGAUAGAGAUGGUGCAGUAUUUUAGGCCAUAAGGUCCCUCUUUUAUAGUAAAAUAUGAUGAUGAUCGUGUUCUGAUUUUUGUGGUGGUGAUUGCCGAUUUUAGCCAUCUACGAUGAAGGUUAUAAUGGUCUUAAAUUUAAGGUGAUUUGUAAUGGUCAAGAUUGAAAAUAAAGGUGAUUGUGGUAGAAUGUUUUCUUAAAAUCCUUUUCGAUGUUCAGGAGGAUGAUGGAGCGGUUUUGAUCUGAUGGAGUUGUGGUGGAUUUUUAAAGGGUAAGGUUGGAGAGGAGAAGUUUGAUGAACAGAAAUGUGGGUCGGCGGGGAAAGAGCAAAAAUUGAGAAAAGGGGAAAAAGGAGGAUUAGGGGAAAGAAAGGUUUGGGCAGGGAGUAGAUUUUUCCCUUUUUCUUCUUUAGAAGCUCUUUUUUCUUUCAUUUUUUAAUCUUUUCUUUUGUAAUUGAUGUUUUCUUUUCUUAUUUUUUUUAGUAUUUUUUCAACCAAAAUGCUAUUGUAGCGCGCUUUAUUAUCGCAAUUCUCACGCACUUUGGCCACAUCAACUUAUUGUUGCCACAUAAGCACAGUCAAUAGUCAAACGUGUUUAUUUGUAUCCAGUUCAUCAAGUUAAGGUGUUAAAAUAAGAAAGAUAUAAGUUUGUCUAUUGGAUUGGCAAACUGAUACAAGUUUAAAUGUCCAUGAAGCUAUUUUACCAAUAAAUUAUGCCAUCAUAGUAAAAUUGGGAGCACUAACUUUAAAUAGGUUUUAAAUAUAAAAAGUGUCAUUUUUUCUUGAUCACAUAAAAAAUAUAGUAUCACAUAAAAUUGGCAAAAGGAGGAGGUGGAAAGAGCUUGAGAUUCAGAACCAUACUUGUUACGCUAAAUGUGAAUUUAGUAUCCAGCAACAACAAUUGCUAUUUCUUUCUUUUAAACAAGUUAAAGACAAUACAACAACAACAACCCAGUAAAAUCUCACAAGUGGGGUCUGGGGAAGGUAGUAUGUAUGCAGACCUUACCCCUACCCUGAAGGAAUAGAGAGGUUGUUUUCGGAAGACCCUCGGCUCAAGAUAAUAAGAAAAACAAAAAGGGAAGAAUAUUAGUUUCACCACAGAGAUCAUAUGAAAAAUAGAAACAAAAAAUGCAAAACAAAAAUGAUAGCUAGUAAAUAGGUCCUGCACCGAAAAGCGAAAAUAGUAAGACACGGCAAUGCCCCUAGCUAUUCCAGACAAAAACCCUACCAGACUAGGCUCACAACAGAACAAGGUAACGCAAGACUCAGUUAUCUCCUAGCCUACAACCGUAAUACUCGACCUCCAUAACUUCCUAUCAAGUAUCAUGUCCUCAGAAAUCUGAAGCCUCGCCAUAUCUUGCCUGAUCACUUCUCCCCAAUACUUCUUAGGCCGCCCUCUACCUCGUCUCGUGCCCUCCACAACCAGUCGCUCACACCUCCUUACUGGAGCAUCUGGGCUUCUCCUUUGUACAUGUCCGAACCAUCUAAGUCUCGCUUCCCGCAUCUUGUCAUCAAUGGGAGCCACAUGCACCUUCUCCCGAAUAUCCUCAUUUCUAAUCUUGUCCAUCCUAGUGUGUCCGCACAUCCACAUAAACAUCCUCAUUUCUGCUACUUUCAUCUUUUGGAUAUGUGAGUUCUUAACUGGCCAACACUCAUCCCCAUACAUCAUGGCCGGUCUAACCACCGCUUUAUAGAACUUACCUUUUAGUAUCGUUGGCACUCUCUUGUCACACAAAACUCCGGAUGCUAACCUCCACUUCAUCCACCCUACCCCAAUAUGGUGUGCGACAUCCUCAUCAAUCUCCCCUCUCCCGUGGAUAACCGAACUAAGGUACUUGAAGCUGCCUCUACUUGGGAUAACCUGUGAUUCAAGCCUCACAUCCAUGCCCACUUCCCCUGGCUCAGUGUUGAACUUACACUCCAGGUAUUCCGUCUUCGUUCUGCUCAGCUUGAAACCUUUAGACUCAAGAGUCUGUCUCCAAACUUCUAGUCUCUCGUUAACACCGGUUCGUGACUCAUCAAUCAGAACUAUGUCAUCGGCAAAUAGCAUGUACCAUGGCACUUCCCCUUGAAUAUGGUUUGUUAAUGCAUCCAUCACCAGGGCAAAUAAGAACGGACUGAGCGUAGAGCCUUGGUGUAACCCCAUUUCAACCAGAAAAUGCUCUAAGUCACCUCAUACUAUCCUAACCCGAGUCUUAGCCCCAUCAUACAUGUCCCUGAUCGCCUUAAUAUAGGGAACUGACACACCUUUAGUCUCCAAGCAUCUCCAGAAAACUUCUCUAGGAACCUUGUCAUACGCUUUCUCUAGAUGCAGAUCCUUUUUUCUCUCUCUGUACAGUUCCACCAACCUCCUAAUAAGGUGUAUAGCUUCUGUGAUAGAACGACCCGGCAUAAACUCGAACUGGUUGUCGGAUACAGACACUGUCAUCCUCACCCUUGCUUCAAUGACCCUCUCCCAUACUUUCAUGGUAUGACUCAGUAAUUUAAUACCACUAUAAUUGUUACAACUUUGGAUAUCACCUUUGUUCUUAUACAAUGGAACCACCGUACUCCACCUCCACUCAUCCAAUAUCCUCUUCGCCUUAAAAAUAACAUUAAACAACCCAGUCAACCACUCCAAGCCUGCUCUCCCUACACACUUCCAGAAUUCCACUGGGAUCUAGUCUGGCCUGGUAGGUCUGCCCCUACUCAUCUUACGCAUAGCCCCCACAACCUCCUCAACCUCGAUACGCCUGUAGUGCCCGAAGUCAUGGUGACUCUCAGAAUGCUCCAAUUCGCCUAGUACAAUAUCCUGAUCCUCAUUUUCAUUCAGAAGUUUAUGGAAGUAAGCCUGCCAUAUCCUUUUAAUCUGGGCAUCUUCCAUCAGUAUCCUACCAUCUUCGUCCUUGAUGCAUCUCACUUGGUCCAAAUCCCGAGCCUUCCUCUCUCUCAACUUGGCUAGCCGAAAUAACUUUUUCUCCCUGCCUUUUCCCCCUAGUUCCUCAUACAUCCGACCAUAAGCCGCAGUCUUAGCCUCCGUGACUGAUAGUUUAGCUUCCUUCCUAGCUAACUUAUAUCUUUCCAUGCACGCCCGCCUCUCCUCCUCACCUAUGCUCCCCACUAACUUCAUGUAUGUUGCCUUCUUCGCUUCCACUUAACCUUGGACCACUUCAUUCCACCACCAGAUUCCUUUAUGACCACUAGAGACACCGGUCGAGACCCCUAAUACCUCUCGCGCAGAUGCCCUUAUGCAGUCUGUUGUUGCUCACCAUAUAGUGUUUGCGUCCCCACUGCUCCUCCAAGCACCCAUAGCCGAUAGCCGCCACUCCAACUCUUGGGCUUUAUCCUUAGUAAAGGCUCCCCACCUGAUUCUCGGUGGUCCCCGAGCAGUCCGUUUCCUCCUCUUUAACCUAAUACCAACGUCUAGCACCAAGAGUCUAUGUUGUGUCGCGAGUGACUCACUUAGAAUUACACAACCCGCUGUCACACCUCCAGAGAUAGUCAAUCUGAGUCUUCGUUACCGCAUUAUGAAAAGUAACCAAAUGCUCAUUCCUCUUCAGAAAUCUAGAGUUCGCAAUCACCAACCCGAAAGACUUAGCGAAGUCCAACAGCAUGGUACCUCCUCCGUUCCUCUCCCCAAAACCAAAGCCUCUAUGCACCUCGCCAUAACCACCUGCGGUUGCCCCAAUAUGACCAUUGAAAUCCCCUCCUAUGAAUAGCUUCUCAGUAGGCGGAACCUGGUGCACAAUCUCAUCUAUGCCCUCCCAGAAGUGUCAUUUAACCUCCUCAUCUAGGACCACAUGUAGCGUAUAGACGCUAAUGACGUUUAGGGUGUACUCACCGACCACCAACUUAAUAACCAUCAACCUAUCAUUCACUCGUCUAACUUCGAGCACAGACCCUCUAAGUUCCUUAUCCACCAAGAUACCCACUCCAUUCUUACCUCUCUCGACCCCUGAGUACCAAAGUUUAUACCCGUUCACAUCUUUCGCACUCGACCCUACCCACCUUGUCUCCUGGACACAUGCUAUAUUGACCCUCCUCUUCCGGAGAAUUUUCGCCAACUCUAUAGACUUAAAUGUACCUAUGUUCCAUGACCCGAUUCUUAACCUAUAGGCACCCUUGUUCCCUUUACCUCCCUUGCCUCCCGACCCACCCCCUGACCCCUGCCCUACCUCCUGCCCUACCCCCCGCUCCCCCCGAGGACAUGACCUCACUCGACCAUCCUAGACCACAACCAUUAUACCUACGACAGACUAAGAGGAAUCACUAACACACACAAGGCAACAGACCAAGUUAGACAAAGACACUAUAUAACUAUAAGCGCACUAAUACGAUGAAUAAACAAAUAGGAACAAAGAUUGCAAUAAUUUAACUAACACAAUAAAAGAAAAUGAAUAAGGGGAGGUACCAACUCCCAUGAGUAGAACCUGGAGAUUGUCUUGGUAUAUACGACGAUGUUGCGUCCACCUAGCACGUUCGCGUCCAACUCCUCCGACCCUUGUUGACCCUUAUCGGGGUUGUUCUUUUUGUCCGCACACACACGUCUCGCUCGCAGCCAAUAGCCACAGUCCCUAACCUGGACUUUCGACUUGGUGUAUUCCGUAUGUUGAGAGACCCGACGCACUGCCCUUGUUCCUGCCAGCUGGAAUGCUCCACUAAUUUUGCGCGUGCACUUCGCUCCCACCACCAAGCGGCCACAAAAAUGCUACCUGUAACACACAAAACACACCACGAGACCAAGAAAAAUAAAAGAAUACAGGCUGCCACCGUCACCUCUGAUGAACAACAAUCUGGUGUUGGUCCAAUUGGUCGCCGGAUCGGUCUGACGUCGCCAGAGAACACCGGCGCUACAGAGACACAGCGGGCAGAGGAAGAAGAAGAAAAGAAGAAAGAAGGAGAAAAGAGGAACAGGGGAGGGGGUUGGGCUGCAACCAGACUAAAUAGAAGAAGAAAGAAGAGAUGGCGCCGGCGCACAAGUCACGGGAAAAAAAUGGUUGCUUCUAGGGUUAAGAGGUAGGAGAAAAAGUAAAAGUAAAAAAAAAACGAGAAGAGAGAAGGGAGGAGAGAGAGACUAGGGGAAGAAAUACAUGACAUUUGUCCUAAGUUAUUUAUCACUAAACUAUGGAUGAUAUGCAUUUACUCUUUAAUUUGUGACUCUUAUGGUUAAAUUAUUUGAUUUGAUAUAAAUAUUGGGUGCGGGUAAGUAUUAUUUUCGACGUGAUUAGAAGAUUAUAUCCCAUUAGAGUUAAAAUGACUAAAUAAGUAAGUUAAUUUUGGUAAUAGGAAAGGCUUAAUACAUACAUACUUCAUCCUUCUAAUAACUUGUAAUCGAAAUUCUUUUGACACACAUCAAUUUCACGCUAAAAUAUAUUUACACCAAUUUUUUUUGAAACAUGUCUAAUACAUACCAUUUGAGUUUAACUAACUUUGACAUGGUCAGAUUACACUUUUACAUGCAACAGUAAUAUUUAAAUAUUUGAAAAGUAAAAAUACUUGAAAUCUAGCCUGUAAUAGGCUGCAAAAGUCACCAUGUAAAAAAAGUUUACGCUGAUGGCGGAUAUUAGCUCUACAAAUUGAGAGCGUACUUGUAACAGGCCGUUUUACCCAAAAAAAAAAAAGAAUAAAUUAAAAACUUGUGUCUAAAGCCUUAUGUACGCCACAUAUCCAAAUUAUUGUCCAAAUUAAUUCUAUCUAUUUUCGUUUUUGAAAAAUACAUCAUCUUCGUCCUUUUAAAAAGUUACCACCAUAUCACCAGUCCCUUCUAUUUGGUUAUUUUUAUUUCGCAGUUCCAUAAAUUGAAAUAUCAAUAGUAAAAUAAGGUUUUCCCCCUUUUAAACACAAAUAAAAUUUUGAACCGAAAUAAGAAAGCAAUCUUGGUGCUGUUCAGCAUGAUCAGGUAAUCGUUUUCCUUUUAUUUUUGAUUCUAAGCUGUUAUUGCGCGCUAAUUCUCAUGCCCAGAUGUUGGACUGCAGUGUAAUGGCGGAGAUGAUGGCAGCCUUGGCGCGAAGAUGAUGGAUUAUUAUUGUAAAAUUCUAGUAUUUUUCUUUUUCUAAGUUAAUGAUGUAUCACGAUAUUAUUGGUGUGUGAAAUACACUUAUUGCAGAAAAAACUCUGAAGAAUUGUAUAAAAGGUGGGGUUGAAAAAAGAUUUAGUGUAUAAUUUUUUUUUUCUCGUAAAAUGAAAUGAGUCAAAGAGAUUUUGAUACAAGUUAGGAGGUUAAACUAUGUAUUAAUUCACUCAAAAUAAUAGUUAAAUGAGUUUUUCCAUUAGGAAUAUAGAUGGUUCCUUUUUAUAAAAAAUUAUUGUAUAUAGGCGGAGAGAAAGAAAAAAUAAAAAAGGAAAUUACAAAAUGAAAAUCCAAAUUCUCGCUAGUAUAUGAAAAUUUAACUAAGGACCACUAAGAUUCUCGGAUGACUGCAUCUAAAGGUGUGGCCUACUGGUCAAUAAAAUGGGUUAAAAUUAUAAAAUUUUUAAAUUUUAUUUUCAACAGAGACAAAAAAUACUAAGUGAUACUUCCUAUAUAUCUAAGUUUUAGUGGAUAAAAUUACUGAAUACUUAUUGUUGAUUGAAGGUAACAAGUAUCCUGUGAAAAUAAUCGAACUACAUAUAUGAACUUGCUCGGACACCAUGGUUAUAAGAAAGAACAAAAAUUCACGGAUGAUUGCUUUCAAAUAACAAGAACACUUUGCCAAAAAAAAAAAAAAAGUUAAUAACAAGAACACACUUUCAUUUCAAAAGACAGAGUGGGUGGCUACUGCCUUUCUUUUCGGACAUCCCUCGUGGCCUCGUCAUCCAAUUUUCGACAAAUAUCGUUAUAUUCUAUAAUUGAGGACGCGCAAAAUCGUUUCAUAUUUUAUGAAGAAAAUCUGCAUAAUUCACCACUAAAAUAGACCAUUUCAAAGAACUUAGCCCAUGUCACUUGGUCUAAUAGCCCAAUCCAAAAUGGCUCACAUUUGAAGCUCUUACCCUAUUUAGCCCAUGUUUUACAUAAUUUGAAAGAAAUUUUUCAGCCUUUAGCCCACUGUUAAAGACAUAGUUUUAGAGUUUUUAUUAUUUUCUUCUUUCUUUAUUCCCUUCUCUCUCUCACCGCCUCUCACUUCUUUCUUUCUAACCCACAUAGAUCUCUCAUCCUCUCUUAAAAUUAGUCAUUAGCAAUGUAUUAUGCUUCUCUUACAAACACAACAUCUGCUACAUAUCUGCCUCCCCUUUUCCGCAAAUUAUCUUAGUCAAUAGCUGAAGCAACUUCAAUUUGUGAGGAGCACAACAGCUUUAUCCCCCCUCCUCUACCCCCCACGCAGUUUUGUUAUUAAUGGCUUAAGAAGGCUCGGGCUCCUACUCCGUCGUCCAUGGUGGCAAGCAAAAGAAUAUUGAAGAUUUUGGAUAGAAACAUGAAAAUACACACAGAUAUGAAAAUAAAUAGCUCUCAAACUUGAUUUGCACCAAAAAAUAACCACUAAUGUUGGAAGAUUUUGAAGUUUGAAGUUCUGGUCAUUAUUAUUAUGGCCUUGAAGUCUCGAAUCUGAAAUUGGGUUUGUAUAAAAAUUAUAACUAUGUAGCAGUUUGUAUCAACAUUGUAUACUAGUGUAUAAUUGUGUAUAUGGAUAUACAAACACCUCUUAUACACUAUUAUACAUGUUUAUACAAACUUAUACAGUAUUGUAUAAUUGUGUAUAAAUGUGUAUAUUUGUGUAUAAUAUUGUAUAAUUAUAUAUUUUUCAGUUUAUAAGGAUGUAUAUACAUUGUUAGUGUGUAAGAGGCUUCUACAGAAGUUUGACACUUCUUUCUCAUCUUCUUUUUCGUGUAAUGUGUUGUAUGAGCGUUGGAGGAAUUCUACAAUUCAUUUACCAAGUUUUUAUUUUUCUUUUAUCCUGUUGGAUUGCUUCGGCAAUUGCACAUAAAAGUGUUUGAAUUUCUUACCUUCAGAUAAUAUGUAUUAUUCAGGAUUUUUGAGUUGUGUUAUGGCUGAUUUGCAUUUUUUUUUUAUCAAAUGCUUAAUAAUCAAAGGAAAUCAACAGAAUGAAAACAACUGGUUAUAUAUAAGAGGGAGCAAAAUAAGCUUUCUUUCGGGAAUUAGCCUAUUAAUUUUUGGGCUAUAGAUUUGCAAAGUGGUAUCUAGGCUGUUAUGUUGCAAGUCAGGUGUGUGAGUUGUAUUUAUGCGAAAUUAUCCCUUUCUUUUUUCUUUUUCCUCCCAUUUAAUUCAUUGACAAAUACAUUAAUUUGGUUCUUGAUCCUUCAAUCACUUUCGAGACCCAAAUUCCAUUCAGAAAAAUUACACUUCCGAUCCCCUAGUUAUUAAAAAAUAAGCAUUUCUACUCUUGAAUUAAUAACAAAUCUGUGCUUUGAUCCUUUUACAUGAUAAUAUUUUAUUUAAAUUAUUUUUAUGACUAUAUUACCUUCAGAUAUAGUAACAACUAACAAUACAAAUUUAACAUAAUACAUGAGUAAUUAAAUAGUUUAACCAUUACUGACUGUUAAAUUUGUAAAAAUUCGUAAUCAAAAGGAUCAAAAGUAUAUAUUUCUAUUAAUUAAAGAAAAUAUAAACUUAACCAAAUAUUUCAAGAACUAGAAUUAAAAUUUUAUUAUUAUCUCAUAUAUUGAAAGAUCAAACAUUCACAAAAGAAUUUGUUUGUGAAAAAAAAAAAAUGUUUCUUAUACAUCUUUGUAUAUUAAAUCACAAACAAAAAAAACCUACCUUAAUCAUCAAAAGAAUAGUCUCCCUUACUAAAAUUCAAAGAGCACACUUCAAUGAAAUAUGGACCUAUGUUGCUCGCACUCUUCAAAAAUGCCGUUGGGUGUGGGUCUGAUCCUUUAAAAGUUGUGUAUUUUUAGAGGAUUCGACACGAACGCAACAGUAUUUUUGGAGAGCCCGAGCAACAUAGAUAUGAACUACUCAUCAAAAUCUUCAUCUUGAACAAACUGAUUCUUCAACUAUAGUUUCAAGCAAUGGUUUCUUUGACCUACAUAUUAACAACAUGUGCUUGAAUUCUGGCGUUGAGAACUCUUCAAUAUCUUCCAAUUUCAACUUUGGCAAAGCAAUUUUAUCAUAUUUUGGCUUAGGCUCCUCUAUAUCCACAGCAAAUUCUGUGCAUUCUGGCAAUAUUUUGCCUCUUUUAAAAGACACCCUUUUGGCUACAGAAUUAGCAGUGAGGAAUAAUGCACCCAAAUCAGCUGCUGAAACUAAUGAAUUCAAUCUUUUCAUAGGAAACAUGACAUAAACAUUGGCCAUUUCAAGAUCCUCAUCAGCAUUUAGGGCAGAAAAUCUCCUACCAAUAUGUAGAGACUUUGAAUUUACAAGAAAGAAAUUAGGUUUUUCUAGCAUGAGUUCUGCUGCUUUAAUUUGGUGAUGUAUGUUUUGGAUUUCACCAUUUGGAAAAAUGACCUUUACUAGUCUUGAUUGUUUGUUGCCUACUUGUGCUAAUAAUGUGCAAGAUAUGUAGUUGCCCAUUUCAAGUUGGACAAAACUCUUUCUUGAAAACUAGAAAGAGUAUAAAGAUGCAAAUAAUAUGAGGAAGAAGAAGAAGAGAAUAUGAUUAUUGGGAUUGAGAAAUGUAGUAGUUUCCUCCUGUAUACUAAUGAAUGGAAUGUUCAGGCGCGAAGUUAUGUGUAGUCAAGGAUUGUCAACUGAACACCCCUUACCAAAAAACUGUAUUGUAUAUAAGGUACGUAAAAUAUAACUUGCUCUUGAUCAAAAAAUAUUAUUUGAACACCUUUACAUAGCCCACUCUUGAAAACUAUAAAAAAUAUAAAGAUGCAAAUAAUACGAGGAAGAAGGAGAGAAUAUGGUUUUUGGGAUUG
rnacentral:lncRNA from 1 species